rnacentral:lncRNA from 1 species
CACAACGCUACCAGCAUUAGUAAAAGAAAAGGAUUUCUCAAUCAGAAAUUUUGAAUCCAACCUUAUGAUACCUCCAUUGAUAAUGAGAUUAGCAUCUACGCCAAAUUUCCUCAGGUGAAUAGCUCCAGCAAUAACCUGAGACUCUAGAGUCCCUUCCAAACCACAAAAAGGAACCCUAUCAGAAAUUGGUAUACCUAAAAGAUGAGCAUACUCCUCCAUGGUAGGCAACAACUGAUAAUAAGGGAAAGUGAAGCACCGUAAGACGGGAUCAUAGAACUGAA